ACACAUGCAAGUCGAGGGGCAGCAUGGUCUUAGCUUGCUAAGGCCGAUGGCGACCGGCGCACGGGUGAGUAACACGUAUCCAACCUGCCGUCUACUCUUGGACAGCCUUCUGAAAGGAAGAUUAAUACAAGAUGGCAUCAUGAGUCCGCAUGUUCACAUGAUUAAAGGUAUUCCGGUAGACGAUGGGGAUGCGUUCCAUUAGAUAGUAGGCGGGGUAACGGCCCACCUAGUCUUCGAUGGAUAGGGGUUCUGAGAGGAAGGUCCCCCACAUUGGAACUGAGACACGGUCCAAACUCCUACGGGAGGCAGCAGUGAGGAAUAUUGGUCAAUGGGCGAGAGCCUGAACCAGCCAAGUAGCGUGAAGGAUGACUGCCCUAUGGGUUGUAAACUUCUUUUAUAAAGGAAUAAAGUCGGGUAUGCAUACCCGUUUGCAUGUACUUUAUGAAUAAGGAUCGGCUAACUCCGUGCCAGCAGCCGCGGUAAUACGGAGGAUCCGAGCGUUAUCCGGAUUUAUUGGGUUUAAAGGGAGCGUAGAUGGAUGUUUAAGUCAGUUGUGAAAGUUUGCGGCUCAACCGUAAAAUUGCAGUUGAUACUGGAUAUCUUGAGUGCAGUUGAGGCAGGCGGAAUUCGUGGUGUAGCGGUGAAAUGCUUAGAUAUCACGAAGAACUCCGAUUGCGAAGGCAGCCUGCUAAGCUGCAACUGACAUUGAGGCUCGAAAGUGUGGGUAUCAAACAGGAUUAGAUACCCUGGUAGUCCACACGGUAAACGAUGAAU
rnacentral:rRNA from 1 species